rnacentral:rRNA from 1 species
CCAAUAGCGUAUAUUAAAGUUGCUGCAGUUAAAAAGCUCGUAGUUGAAUUUCGGGACCAUCAUGUCGGUCGUGCCUAGGUACGUACUGGCAUUGUUGGUUUCUCCCUUCUGACGAACCAUGAUGUCAUUUAUUUGGUGUUGUGGGGAAUCAGGACUGUUACUUUGAAAAAAUUAGAGUGUUUAAAGCAGGCUCACGCUUGAAUACAUUAGCAUGGAAUAAUGAAAUAGGACGUUUGAUUCUAUUUUGUUGGUUUCUAGGAUCGACGUAAUGAUUAAUAGGGAUAGUUGGGGGGAUUAGUAUUCAAUUGUCAGAGGUGAAAUUCUUGGAUUUAUUGAAGACUAACUACUGCGAAAGCAUUUGCCAAGGAUGUUUUCAUUAAUCAAGAACGAAAGUUAGGGGAUCGAAGACGAUCAGAUACCGUCGUAGUCUUAACCAUAAACUAUGCCGACUAGGGAUCGGAUGAUGUUAAUUUUUUAAUGACUCAUUCGGCGCCUUACG